AACGCGAAGAACCUUACCCGGGCUUGAACUACGGAUGGUAAGUCCCAAGAAACUGGGGCUGACCCGCAAGGGAGUCCGCAGAGGUGCUGCAUGGUUGUCGUCAGCUCGUGUCGUGAGAUGUUGGGUUAAGUCCCGCAACGAGCGCAACCCCUAUCUCAUGUUGCUAAUCCCGUAAGGGAUGCACUCUUGAGAAACUGCCUUCGAUAAGAAGGAGGAAGGUGGGGACGACGUCAAAUCCUCAUGGCCCUUAUGUCCGGGGCUACACACGUGUUACAAUGGCCGGUACAAUGGGAAGCAAUGCCGCAAGGUGGAGCCAAACCCACAAAGCCGGCCCCAGUUCAGAUUGUGGGCUGCAACUCGCCCACAUGAAGGCGGAAUCGCUAGUAAUCGCUGAUCAGCAGGCAGCGGUGAAUACGUUCCCGGGCCUUGUA
rnacentral:rRNA from 2 species